GCACCACCUUGUCCGUGUAGUCCCCAAUUCCUAUUAUUCGACCAUUUUUCCGAUAAUUCUAAUCGAGACUUCAUUACCCCCAUUAGUUCUUCCAUCUGCUUAAGAAGUCUUUCUUGACCUAAGCUCAAGUUCUUUGUGAGAGUUUCAAGUCGUUGGAGGCGUUUCUCUUCAACUAUCCCAGGCUUUGAUAUCAAACUAUUAUAUACUUUGUUGAUGGCAUGAUCAUGGCCACGUCCUCGUCCCAACCCUCAGGCUAUGAUGUUGAGACAUAAUGAAUUAGCAAAAAUGAAAGAAUUUGAUAGCAAUAGUCAAGAGACAAGCUUUGAAUUUUUUUUUUUUCUCUCCCAUAUCCAUUGCAUAUCAAGAGUGAAUUUUAUAGCAAAAAGACUUUAAUAUUUUAGGGAAAAACUAGCAAAAAAGCUAGAAAGUAGGAACUAAAUAGUUCGUGUCCACUAACUCCUGCUAACCCACUAAUUUCACUGAAUACUGCUAACCCAUUAUACAAUCGAAAAAAUCUAAAUUAAUAAACUGAAAUUAAACAAAGUAAAGUGUUGACACAUAAUAGUUAUAGUAUGUGGCGGAGAUAAGAUUUGAAUUUAGGAGCAAUUUUACACUGCUCGCAUAUUGAGAGCUUACUAAAGCCAAAUUUGCACGAUAUUUUGACUAUCAAAAUAUCACCAUUUUUUAGAGCAAUUAGGAGCAGGUUUUAUCAAAAGACAUGCCUCUUUCUUUCUCCUUCAAGCACAACCUCCUUCUUCCUCUUUCACGCAUAGCCUUAUUCCUUCUUCUUCCUCGCCAACUGCCUCAUUCUUUCUCCUUCCUCCUCGCCGACAGCCUCUCGCCACCACUAGUCUGAAAUCUCAACUCGCCUAUAGUUGAACCGCCUUUGUCCCCACCCGCCAUCGUCGCUAAUCGUAUCGCCUUUGUCUCCACCCGCCACUGACAACAAUGUCGAACCUAGGUAAGAUUGACCGCUAGUCUUUUACGUUUUCUCUAUGGCCUUUUGUUUUGCUAACAGAUUUUGUUGGUUGUUAUCUUAAUGAAUGCACAUUUUUAUCUUACGUUAAUGGCUGUUAUUUUAAUGGAUUGUUUUAUCUUAUGUUUAUGGACCUAGGUAAGAUUGUUUUGUUAUUGGAUUUUGUUUUGUUGGUUGUUAUCUUACGUCUUCUCUAGGCAAGAUGCUUGGUUAAAUGUUAAUAAUGGCUUUCUUAUGGUUUGAGCCCUUGUUUAUUAUCCAAACAUUUUAGUAAGAUGUAAGCCCACAAACUAUGUGAAUUUAAUUCAUUAUACAUAUAAAAUUAACCAUAACUACUCAAGACUGCCAAAUGAUACAAAUUAAUAACAGAUUUAAAUUAACAACUAUGUUAUUAAUCUGUCAUUAGUAUUUUGAUUAUAUUUUUAGUAUAAAAGUUAUGUAAGAAUAUUUGUUCCUAUUUUUGAAAGUAGUCAGUAAACGAUUUGAAUCAUAAAUUACUUUGAUCAUAUUUUCAUUUUGGUUUAUGAUUAUAUGAGUUUUUGAAUUAGAUAGAUUAAAUUCUUGAUUUGAAAUUCAAUAGGCUGAUAAAUUUGUCUCUUAGAUCAAUUUUCGUAUGCUAACGAAGAGAAUGUAGUAGUUUCUGACGAUGAGAUUGAAGUAGUGACAGACAAUGAAUGCACAUCAGAGGACGAGGAGAUUGUGCCUAUGGUUAGGAUGAAGUUUAGGGAUCAUAACGAGAUUUUUGAAUUUUACAAAACAUAUGCUUAUAGUGUGGGUUUCCCUGUUAGAAAAAGAACUUCAAAAAAGGGUAGUGAUUGGUCAUUAAAAUAUGUGACAUUUGUUUGUAGUUGAGAAGGCCUAACAAAUAGUGAUACAAGUAGCUUGUUCAAGCCUCAACCAAUCAAUAAAACAUGUUGUUUAGCUAGACUGACAACUGUGAUAGGAACAUGGCGUGUUAUCAAAGUCAUUUUGGAGCAUAAUCACAAAACAAGUCCUUUAAAAUCUAGGUUGUAUCGAUGUAAUCGACAAUUGAGUGAACAGGUAAAACGAAAGCUUGAAGUAAACAACAUAGCUGGUAUUCUAAUACACAAAAGUUACAAUUUAGCUGUCGUUGAAGUGGGUGGAUAUAAGAAUAUAUCAUUUGUUGAAAUGGACUGUAGAAACUACAUUGAUAAGAUUAGGUGAUUAAGACUUGAGAAGGGAGAUGCAGCUGUGAUGCAAGUCUACUUUUCAAAAAUACAAGCACAAUGUUUUGAUUUUUUCUUUAGUGUGGAUUUUGACGAUGAGUGUCGACUAAAGAAUGUAUUCUGGGCUGAUAAUAGGUGUAGACAAGCAUAUAAGGAAUUUGGCGAUAUGACAUUCGGUACCACGUACUUGACGAAUAAGUAUGACGUGUCGUUUUCCCCUUUUGUUGGUGUAAAUCAUCACGAAUAGCCGACAUUGUUUGGUUGUGGUUUAAUAUCCAGUGAGGAUACUGAGACUUUCAUUUGGCUGUUUAGGACUUAGCUGGAGUACAUGGAAAGUCAGACGCCCAUUGGUAUAAUAACUGAUUAGGAUAGGGUAAUGCAAAAUGCCAUUCAAAUUGUUUUUUUCGAAUACGAGGAAUAAAUGGUGUUUGUGGCGCAUACUUAAGAAGUUGCCUGAAAAAUUUGGGGGCCACUCUCAUACAGGUUCAAUACUCUCGACUAUGUAUGAAGUGGUAUACAAAUCACAACAUCUAGAAGAAUUUGAACGAGGUUGGGGUUUAUUGAUUGAUAUGUACACAUUGCAUGACAAUGUUUGGUUGUACGAGCUUUUCAGAGAACGAGGCCAUUGGGUACCUUAUUAUUUGAGAACAAGUUUAUGGGUUGGGAUGCCAAUAACGUAACGGAGUGAAAGUAUGAAUUCGUUUUUCGACUGGUAAGUGAACUCGAAAACCUCAUUGAAGCUUUUUGUUGAACAGUAUAAGCAGGCUUUGAGGUGUAAAGUUGAGAAAGAGUUCUAGGCAUAUUUUGAGUCAUAUUCACAGAUGAUACCGUGGAGAAAUAGUUCCAAGAGGUUUACACAAUUUCAAAAUCCAAAGAAUUUCAAGCAGAGCUCACUAGAAAAGUGUAUUGCGAUAUUAUCUCUACCGAGGUUUGUUAUCUUGGAUCUAGGUAUGAAGUCCAAGAAGAUAUCAUGUUCAACGAAACAAAGAAGAGAAAGAGGUUUACGAUUAUGUUUGAGGGAGAGAAGUGUCACAUUGUUUGCAGCUAUCACUUGUUCAAGUUUUGAGGGAUACUUUGUAGGCAUGCUUUUUCAAUAUUUAUUCGAAACGAUGUGGAAUUUAUUCCCGACAGUUAUAUCUUGAGGAGAUGGAGGAGAGAUGUGUGUAGAGCAUACACAAGGGUUAAUAUCAAUUACAAUGAUUGGGUUAGCACUCCUAAGCAGGUAAGAUACGAUCAAUUGCAAAGUUUAUCUGCCAAGGUGGAAAAUUUGGUAGUAGAUGAUGAAGAACACACCUAAGAGUUCACAGAAUUGCUCAAAAAUCAACUGAACAAUCUAAGCAUAUCGAUACUAAAAACAAGUUGUGGCAGUAAUCUCCUUUCCCAAGGCAGUGUUCGAAUCUCAUCUGAUUGUGGCGAAGCUGGAAGGACAUCAUACGGUCCCAUUUCGGAUCCACAAUGCACGAAAACAAAGGGAGCUCCUAGAAAACUUCGUCAAAAAGGGGCCAUUGACAACGAGUACCAAUAAACGCAAGAGUUAAGCAAAGGAAAACGCCCAAUGGAAAAUAAUGCACAACCUGGUCAAGCUCUAAUACAAACAGCAAAAGAUGCAGUAAAUCCCAUGCUAACCCCACUCACUUACUCACAACUGUUGAUGGGUGCUAACUAUCAAGCUUAUAGAGUCAAUUGGAUGCCGACUUAUGGAAUAAGUCAACUAUUUAUGCCAACCUAUGUGCCACAUGGAUGUCCCAAGGAAGACGAGAUGGGGAUAGAGUUGAUGAACACCGAUUUGCUUAAAGAGAGGUUAUGUUGACCAAAUUCCAUCAGAAAAGGAAGGAAAAUAGUUUGUGCUUAAUCAUAUCUAUUGUUUUUGCUCUUGCAUUGUGGUUAAGAUCACUAGUCUAUAUUGGAUUAAAUUGAUUUCCUAAUUAAUUUUGCAAAUUUUUCUAGAUAGAUGUUGAAAUACAUGUUAAUAAUGUCAUGCCAAAGUCUUACACUCUUGGAAACCAAUUUCAUACUUA